GCCCGGAUAGCUCAGUCGGAUAGAGCAGGGGAUUGAAAAUCCCCGUGUCCUUGGUUCGAUUCCGAGUCCGGGCACCA
rnacentral:tRNA from 1 species